ensembl:lncRNA
UAUAGAGAGCCUUUCUCUCCUACAUGCCAUUUGCUGCCUGCAGUUGGGUGUCUGUGAACAUGCCAGGGUUGCCCUGCAUUCUGUUGUCCAGAUCCUUAACAAAGGUGCUGGCAGUCUUAAUGAGUGUUAGCCCCUGAGGGAUGCUGUGGGGACUGGCUGCUGAUGGGACUUCACACCACCAGCCCUUGGAGCCUGGAGGGAUACUGGAGUUGUUAAGAAAUAAGGUCAAGAGAGAUUACUGUUUUUUAAAUUGUUCUUCACUCAUCUUUGAAGUAGUCUCAAGUCAUCAUGACAGGAAAUCAACUGAGUUCAGAGAGCAGAAAAAGUGGAGGAGAAGCAGUCAAGGAAUAACUUGAUCAGAUUUCACUAUGGUAAUUUCACAAAUGAUGCUUCACAAUUCUUCUAUUGUCCUGAGAAUAGCACUAAUGUGCUCUAUAGUUCCCAUAGUGAGCAGGGAAAAAUGUAUUAAUCACAAUACAGUGGCUCAUGGGUUAAAAUGACUCGUAGGUUAGAAAAAAAAAAAAAAACCAUAGACUCCGUGAUACUCAGUGAAAAACAAUGUUCUGAAAUACUUAAGACGGUAUUAAAAUAACAUAUUACUUUUAAUCAAGUAAGAGUUAGAGUCCUGAGCAGAAUCAAAUCUUUUUUGUGUAAAGCUCUGAUGAGAGGCUCACAUAGAGAAAGGACAUUGUUCCAGUAAAACACAUGCAGGCAGGUGUAGUUAAGGUUUUGACACACCAGAUAUGGUAUUUUGAAUUUGGGAAUACGUCAGCUACUCAGAAACCUCUGCAGUAAGCAAGAGACCAUAAGUGUAACAGCCUAUGACUGCUGGAAAGAAUUCAUCUGCAUUCUUGUGCUCUCUCAUAUGGGACUGGUGACCAUGCUAAACCUCAAGCCAUUCCAGCUCUCUCCCAAUUACGAUGCUGCUACCUACAUAGAUACACAGAUGCCACCUCUUUGGUUGUCACCUGGCUUUUGAGUUCUAAAGAUUCCUAUCUUCAAUCUCCUCUGCAAUUCUGGUGUGACAAACUUGUUUCAAAAAGAGAAACUAAUGUUUUUAUUGUGUUAACAAUUCUACUUUGGAAGGCUGUGCUACCAUUCAACAAGACCUGGACAGCCUGCAUUAAAAAGAGCGUGGCCAGCUGGUCAAGGGAGGUAAUCCUCCCUGUCUGAUCUGCCCUGGUGAGGCUACGUUUAGAAUGCUGUGACCAGUUCUGGUUCCCCUGUUCAAAAAAGACAGGAAUCUCCUAAAAGGAAUCCAGCGGAGGGCCACAAAGAUGAUUAACUGCCCGGAGCAUCUCCUGUAUGAGGAAAGGCUGAGUAACCUGGGACUGUUCAGACUGGGGAAAAGAAGACUCAGAGGGGAUCUGAUAAAUGUUUAUAAAUAGCUAAAGCGAGGUGAGAAGCAAAUGGAUGAGGCCAGGCUCUUCUCAGAGGUGUGUAGUGAUAGGGCGAGGAGUAAUGGCCUAAAACUUGAACAUUUUGUACUAACAUGUGGAAGAACUUUAUGGUAAUGAUGACAGAGCACUGGAACAUGUUGCCCAGAGAUGUGGACUCUCCUUCUGUGGAGAUAUUGAAGACCCACCUGGAUGCCUACCUGCGUGAUCUGCUGUAUGGAACCUGCUUUAGCAGGGAGUUGGACUCAGUGAUCUCUUGAGGUCCCUUCCAACCCCUGCAAUUCUGUGAUUCUGCGUGGUUCUGUGAUUCUGGCAUCUGAGAAAAAGCCAAAACCAAGAUUUCUCAUGAAACUGAGAACUAGGAAUGCAAACAUGAAAAUAGAAAGGCUUUCCUGUGUACCAUACUUGACAUAACAGCAGAUACAAAUAACAUUUGCUUGGAUGAUUAAGUCUCUGAGUUGCAACUGAACUGACUUCAACUACCACUCUCCGAAAAACAUCUUAGCUCAAGUUUAAACUGACAGUACAAAUUUCUGCUCUCCAAUUUGAGACAGAACAGAUUUUAAUAUCUUUCUAAUACAAUGUAACAAAUAUUUUUGUCCUUAUAGAAAGCUAUUUAUAUGGUGUUUUAAUAUAAACGCUUGUAGUUUCAAUUUAGUUUCAUUUAAAAGUUUUUUUUAAGCUUUCACUUAAAAAAAAAAAAAACAAAACAAAACAACACAAGAAAUCACAGACAGGGAGGAAACUGCUUCUAUAAAUCCCUGAAAAACUGUGGGACUACUGCCAUCUUCUGGGAUGUGAAACAAAGGCAUGUCAAUACUACACUAGGAAAUACUUCCACUUAAAAAAGCAAAAAAGGUUUUGGUUUUUAGAUACAGCCUAAGCAAAUUAUUUUGAGGACUUAUUUGACUCCUUGAAACUAGAUUACCAUCAUUUUACAAGCACGGUAACAUUGUAUUGCUAUAAUUUCAGCUGUGAGGAAGACAGUUACAAGUAUUUGUUGCAUUCGACUUCUGAGAAGUUUCUCAGAAUAAAUGCAUUCGACUUGUGCA